rnacentral:rRNA from 1 species
UACGUAGGGGGCUAGCGUUGUCCGGAAUCAUUGGGCGUAAAGAGCGUGUAGGCGGUCCGGUAAGUCCGCUGUGAAAGUCGGGGGGCUCAACCCUCGAAUGCCGGUGGAUACUGUCGGGCUAGAGUGCGGAAGAGGCGAGUGGAAUUCCGUGGUGUAGCGGUGAAAUGCGCAGAUAUCAGGAGGAACACCUAUUGCGAAGGCAGCUCGCUGGGACGUAACUGACGCUGAGACGCGAAAGCGUGGGGAGCAAACAGG